CAGAUGAAAAUAAUGUUAUAUUUUUUUGUAUUUGUAAUUCGUUUUUGUUAUUAAUUUCACAGAAAUUCCCCCUUUCUUUUUCAUUUUUACUUAUAGAGUUCUUUACUGUUCUGUAUGGCAAAUGGGAGUACGUAUACCUUUUGUCUAUUAUGAGCACCCGUAGUCCUGCCUCCUAUUGUCGCGUUGGCGCUAUUUUCUCCUCAGUAUGCUGUAUAGUGCUCUACAUAAAAUGUUCAUUUUGAUGAUUUAAAACAGUAAUUUCAUGAGCAUUUCUAAUAUAUUCUGACACUAAGAGCCUAGCAACAUGUACUAUGGUGCUGCUAGUAGUAUUUUUUCAGUUUUAAAACAUUUUUGUUAAAGAGCAAAGUUGCACUGUGUUUAGUGGGCAGUAUGCGCCCUCUACUGGUUUGUUGGCAAUACAGCUUCCUAACUUUUGAGCCUAACUAUUAUGCUGGCUUUCUUUUCGUGUUAGGCAUUCCCUGUUGAAGCUAUUGAGACCAAAAUCUGUAUCUACUUUGCUCUAUAUGCUUUUUAUAUAGGUGAGUACUUCCAUAGCCAUUUUAGUUGAUUUUAGUGGAUGUACUGUGUAUAUAAAAUGGAGGAUGCCAUUUUGUUUUAUUGUUUCUUCUAUUUUUUUUUGUUGUUUGUACUAGAAAUGGGAAAAAAACAUUCAGUAAUUCAGUUGAUAUAUUUUGAAAUAACAGAACUUAUUACCAAGAAGUGGUUGUAGUAGCUACAUGUGUUGAAAUAAAUACUGAAUCUAUAAAACUAUAACUAUAUAUAUAUAUACAUAAAUAUUAGUUUAUUAUUGCAUAAGCAUAUCACUAAAGUGUUGAAUAUUAUAAGGGUAUUUUAAUAUUGGUUUUUGUUGACAUUUGGGAUAUUAAUGUCGUAAAUAAGUGAUUUUAUAAUAAUGAUGAUUAUUAUUAUUUUUUAUUAUUAUUAUUAAUAGUAUUUAAAGAUAUGUAUUUUAUUUUCAUACACAUGUAUUGUCAGUCUGCAGUGAACUUGACUGAGAGAGGCAUUCCCUGUUGAAGCUAUUGAGACCAAAAUCUGUAUCUACUUUGCUCUAUAUGCUUUUUAUAUAGUGAACUUGACUGAGAGAGCCUGCUGAGAACUUGACUGAGAGAGGAGAAACAAAUACACAGACUGAAGCUGAUUCCGGUGUCCUGAGCUUUAUUCCAUACACACACAACGCAGAAGAGGGUAGCAGCAGAGUACAGACCGGCUACAAGAGCAC